CUCUAGCCCGGAUAAUAGUGGAAAUCCUUUUUUGUUAGUAUAAAAACCCAUCGACUGCGAUCAGGGUGACACAAAAAAGAUUGCAACGGAUAGCCGGAUUAGCU
rnacentral:sRNA from 10 species